GAUAAGAACGUAGCGAAAUGCGAUAAGUAAUGUGAAUUGCAGAAUUCAGUGAAUCAUCGAAUCUUUGAACGCACAUUGCGCCCGCCAGUAUUCUGGCGGGCAUGCCUGUUCGAGCGUCAUUACAACCCUCAAGCCCCCCGGCUUGGUGUUGGGGACCGGCCACCGGUGCCCUGCUGCUUCCGCGGCAGGCGCACCCGGCCGCCCCCGAAAUGAAUUGGCGGCCCCGUCGCGGCCUCCCUCUGCGUAGUAGCACACAUCUCGCAGCUGGAGCGCGGCGCGGCCACUGCCGUAAAACGCACCAACUUUUUUUACAGUUGACCUCGAAUCAGGUAGGAAUACCCGCUGAACUUAAGCAUAUCAAUAAGCGGAGGA
rnacentral:misc_RNA from 1 species